rnacentral:rRNA from 1 species
UGGGGAAUCUUGCGCAAUGGGCGAAAGCCUGAUCCAGCCAUGCCGCGUGGGUGAAGAAGGCCUUCGGGUUGUAAAGCCCUUUCGGCUGGGACGAAAAGGUUCGGGUUAAUAACCCGGAUCCAUGACGGUACCAGCAGAAGAAGCCCCGGCUAACUUCGUGCCAGCAGCCGCGGUAAUACGAAGGGGGCUAGCGUUGUUCGGAAUUACUGGGCGUAAAGGGCGCGUAGGCGGCUUCGAUAGUCGGGUGUGAAAUGCCUGGGCUCAACCCAGGAAUUGCACUCGAAACUCCGAGGCUUGAGUGUGGGAGAGGUUGGUGGAAUUCCCAGUGUAGAGGUGAAAUUCGUAGAUAUUGGGAAGAACACCGGUGGCGAAGGCGGCCAACUGGACCACAACUGACGCUGAGGCGCGAAAGUGUGGGGAGCAAAC